rnacentral:misc_RNA from 1 species
GAUGAAGAACGUAGCGAAAUGCGAUAAGAAGUGUGAAUUGCAGAAUUCAGUGAAUCAUCGAAUCUUUGAACGCACAUUGCGCCCCUUGGUAUUCCAUGGGGCAUGCCUGUUCGAGCGUCAUUUGUACCUUCAAGCUCUGCUUGGUGUUGGGUGUUUGUCUCGCCUCUGCGUGUAGACUCGCCUCAAAACAAUUGGCAGCCGGCGUAUUGAUUUCGGAGCGCAGUACAUCUCGCGCUUUGCACUCAUAACGACGACGUCCAAAAGUACAUUUUUACACUCUUGACCUCGGAUCAGGUAGGGAUACCCGCUGAACUUAAGCAUAUCAAUAAGCGGAGGA